GAAUUCUUUCACUACGUGUUUGGCACCAUUCUACUUUUGAUUGCCUCUAUCGUGCUAGCAGUUGACCCACACAAAAUGAGUAGAAUCAUAGCUGCUACAGUGUUUGGGUUCCUGGCUACCAUUCUUUGUGCAGUAAGCCUCUUCCUCUCAUACAAUGUAGCGAGUUUCCAAUGCCAUAGAACUGGUGCCGUGUAAUCUGCAACCAUCAUUCCUUCAACAAGUUUCAUCAUUAGUACAAGAUGCUUUUGUUUUAUGUCACCUUUUUUAUGCAACAUGGAGCCUGCAUUAUGCAGAAAAAAAGUACAGAAAAACGAAACAAAAUACUUAACAUUUAAUAUACUGUGCUUUCUCUGAAAGCUUACUUCCUGACAGUUGUGAUACAGUGGAAUCAUAUUGUUUGUAGCUGUUGAUGUGAACUUUAAAGUGGUGCUUUAUAAUUAUGCUCAAACCUUAACAGAAAACACCAAAGUUAUAUCUUUUUUUAAAAUAAAUAUAUGGUCAUUUUGAUGUAUAACUGGCAUUUUCCAUUGUACAGCCUCUUUAUAAAAAAAUCAGUCAGAAAGGGUACUUUCUGGUAUGACAUUGCAAGCUAAUAGCCACGUUUGAACUACAGUUUGUUGGGUCUAUGUUUACUCGUCGAACAGCACAUUCAUCAAAUGGCUGUUCAUCAAACACUAAACAUGGAACCUAACUUUAAUCAAAAAGCCAAAUCUUCAUAAGACUAUACAUCGAACAAUGAUAGUUGGCCAACAUCAAGGAAGCCGAAUGGAGCAGCAGAGCACUUAUCGGUAACUUGGGUAUAAGGAAACUUGCCUUUUCCCCACUGUAGUGUGAUCUGGAAAUUGGUAUAUAUAAUUAGCGGGGGUGUGGGGGCAAUGACCCCCACUGCACCCAAAUGCUGGGGGCUUUGCCAUCUCAUGCUGAAUUACUCCACAGUUGCACUACAGUGGGAGAAAUCAAAAAAAAACACUGGAGUACACCCUUAGCUUGCACAAAAUUAAUGCAUCUGGCUUCUAAAAAACACAGUUAAAAGAAAUUGCAUAAAAGCUGCUCACCAGAGAAUGCAUUGGUAAAAUGAAUGUUAACUUGUUCAUGCACAAACCUGCACUGAUUUGAGCUGUCAGUGUAUGAAAUAUGCACUCAGCUGAUAAUCAUCUCUGAUUUACUACUUCAUGAGAACUACACGUUUGAAAUACAUCUACCAACUCUGCAUACAGAAUUUGCAGAUUAUAGCAUUCUAAGUGGUAAUGACUGAAACAGGAAGCAAAAUAAGACAGCUCACAUUUUUGAAGUACUUUGCAAAGCAGAAAUUUACAUGCAGUGUAUGACUUAUUCUAUGUUCACUUCUUAAAAUGUUAUAACUACUUAAAACUCAGAACUGGGAACUGGUCAGCUGCUGCCGUGCAGAGCUUGCUUCUCCAAUGUGGUUCCUAAGGUAAGAUGCUUUUGUGUGGAUUCUGCAUGUUUUCACUUUGUCUGCAUGGGUUUCUCCAAGUGCUACAGAUUUUUCCAACAUCCUUAAUAUAUGCUGUAGGUGAUGUAGUGAUCCUCCAAACUGCCCAUUCUGUGUGUGUGUCUCUAUCCCACAAUGGACUGGCAUCUCAUCCAGUAUUAGUUUUAUGUGCUGUGCCCACUGAGUCCUGGGAUGCAUUUCAGCCCUUUGUGACCCUGAGUAGGAUAAAGCAAGUACUGGAAAACGAAUGAAGAGGGAACAAAACAACUCUGAACUGGCAUUCUGGUAGAUUGAUGUCCGUGCCUGGUACGUCUGCUUCACCACGAAACUUUAAGAAACUUCUUCAGCCUCCAGGUGCUGUGCUGCAUGCACCAAUCUGAGAGAGGAGAAUCAGCUCACCAUUUUAAAUGAAUCUGUAUGUCUGUCUGGUUGCUAUAUUUAACUUAAACUCAUGGAGUGUGAGUAUAACCAAACACCAAGCCAAGUACUAAAACACUGUUUUCUAUUUCUUUACAAUAAAUUCACUGGUUUCUAAAAACAAA